AGAACUGUCAAACAAUUUUUAAAAUCUACUAAAAUGUAUGAAAGUUGGCCUAGUGGCAGCUUUACUUCACUUGCUUGAAGCGCUUUAAAGUAUCGAUUAGCCGAAAUCUCUAUUUGACAGCGCGCUGUAGGCUUUUGACAACUCUUGACAUUUCAAUUUUUCGCGUCGAUUUUGCUUGUGUGCAGUUUUUAUCGCGUUCUUCAUCAAUUUUAGAUACCUUGCUUUUUAUCGUUCCGGCCACCAGAUUCGUUGGUUUUCAUAAAGUUUCAUUUGCCUGUGCCACUUCCACCCGUGUUUAUAAGGCGUAAUAUUCAACUGGAGAUACCUUGCUUUUUAUCGUUCCGGCCACCAGAUUCGUUGGUUUUCAUAAAGUUUCAUUUGCCUGUGCCACUUCCACCCGUGUUUAUAAGGCGUAAUAUUCAACUGGAGAUACCUUACUUUUUUAUCGUUCCGGCUGCUGUAUUAUCCGAUUCUUGUGUGUUGGUUGGUAUAUCGGAAGCUUUAGUGCAAGAUGUUCGAAGAAAAACUUAUAGCAGAGAUUGAAAAACACAACUGCUUGUGGGACAAACGACAGCUUAGUUACCGCGAUCGGGUGAAGAAAGAUUUGGCUUGGCGAAAUGUAGCUGCUGCUGUGGGACAUCCUGAGGAAAACUGCCGAAAGCGAUGGAA